rnacentral:rRNA from 1 species
AUACGGAGGAUGCAAGCGUUAUCCGGAUUUAUUGGGUUUAAAGGGUGCGUAGGCGGACAGUCAAGCAGGGGGUGAAAUGCCGGCGCUCAACGUCGGAAGUGCCUCCCGAACUGGUGGACUUGAAUGACUCUGCCGUGGGAGGAAUGUGUAGUGUAGCGGUGAAAUGCUUAGAGAUUACACAGAACACCGAUUGCGAAAGCAUCUCACGAAGGGUUGAUUGACGCUGAGGCACGAAAGCGUGGGGAUCAAACAGGAUUAGAUACCCUGGUAGUCCACGCAGUAAACGAUGAUGGCUAACCGCUGGGCUUAUCAGUUCAGUGGCCAAGCGAAAGCGAUAAGCCAUCCACCUGGGGAGUACGACCGCAAGGUUGAAACUCAAAUGAAUUGACGGGG